rnacentral:lncRNA from 1 species
GGGCGAGUUGACAUUGUUUGAUAUCUACUCAUCGUGUUAGGGGGUCAUAAAGGGUAUACAUCAUAUAGUAAUAUAUAAAGUAUAUAAUAAUGGUUGUGUGGCGUUCUAAACUAGAUUUUAUGAAUUGUAAAUGGUUUUUCGUCUAAUCUAAAACAGCUGGGAUGUAAAAUAGUUAUCCCAUUCGGACUUGGUGUGUCAGUGUAAGAUCACCCUCUGGCCUCCGGCCAUCG